CAGAAAACAAGUUACUUCUAAGGCGUGCACUUAACCGUCUUCUCAGCGUAGGUGCUCGUUUCAAGCAGAGCAAGUUUAUUCUCCUUCAGUAAGAACUUAACUACUUAGGAUAGAAGGACUCUUCUAAAGGCAGCUCGUGAAGUUAAGUCCUUAGGACUUGUCCAAUAUUAUGGUCAAUUUAUUAAAAAUCUUUCUUCUACUGCUGCUCCUCUUCAUAAGCCAACGACAGCUUCAGUGAAAUUAUCAUGGUCUAAAGAUGAACAGGUUUGCUUUAAAACAAUAAAAAUAAUAUUUCUCAUUUUCCGUGUUAAAUGUUUUAUCAUUCAAAUCUUCCCGUGAUAUUGGCUACGGAUGCGUCACCAUUGGGCUUGGGUGCCAUUCUAUCCCAAGUUGAUAAAGAAGGUAAGCGUCCCACUGCAUUUGCAUCGAGAAAGUUAUCUCGAGUGGAACGAAAUUACUCUAAAAUAGACUAGGAGACCACAGGGCCUGUAUAUGGCGUAAAUAAAUUUGAACACUAACUCAUGGGCAGGCAUUUUGUCAUUCGAACAGAUCACCAACCUCUGAAAGAUAUCUUCAACCCAAAAAAAGAGCUACCUACCGUUAUUUCUGCUCGAAUUUCUAGAUACGCAAUUAGAUUUUCUAUGUUUAAUUACACCAUAGAGCAUGUUAAAGAAUCAAAUAACUCAUGCCGAUUCUCUCUCACGUGAUCCUAUUCUUAAGAAUUAUUCUAUGGAAAUGUUAAUAUGUAUUGAUUUCGGUGCAUCAAGUGUAAAGGAAGCUGAGCUUCUUAAUGCCUCACGGAAGGAUGAUUCUCUCUUUUUAGCCAUUAAAUUAGGUGACUGGUCGAAUGUUACUGAGAUUGCUUUUCUCAGAAACGUCUGGUGUAGAACCCAUAAUAGUAAACGAGGCCUAAAUGGAUAGCUGGUGAAACUUUCGAAGGAAUUGGUAACGCUCUAUAGAGUGUCAGGAUAAGUGAGGACACUUCCACCUACUAUACCAACCAGCUCAAGCCUCGUUAAUUCGUAGAUUGGGGGUACUGUAGUGUCUACGCUCUCAACCCGCUUGACCCCUAAAUAUAAAUUUACUCCUUUAUUUACUUGAUUGUGCAUACCUUGUCUUACUUUUAUCUUAUUUUACAUAUGCACUUUCAGUUUGUAAAUCUCCACGAGGAUGUUGCCAGUCCUCGUGGCUAUUAUGUCUAUAUAGAAUAUAUUACCUCUUUUGUUAUAUCAAUCAAUCCUCAUUCUUUCUUCCCGACGUUCUUAUCUUCCUGGCCCCUGGCCUGGCGACGAGUUUAUUAAAGACCACUAAAUCAAGUUAUAAGUAUCUUCAUUCAAUUCUCUCUAUCUGUCUUUAGUCCUAUCUCUUGGACAAUAUAAAAGUCCACUUCUUCUGGUCUUAAUGAAUGAAGGAAGAUCUUAGGCCUGAACAAUUCUCAAAAAAAUAAUGUUAUAUAUUUUAGUUUUAUUGUUAUAACUUCAGAUUGGCGUAGCACCUAAUUAACAUAUCCUUGUUUUAUAUUUUACAUCCAGAGCCUUAUAUCUGGCUUUGGAAUUAAAUUGCUACCGUCAUACUUUCAACACUUGAAUAUAUUCAUUAUUAUAUAGAAAUCUAUUCUCGAUUAUGGCUUAGCUUGGGUUGGUUUUCUUCUCCGGAUAAACUUUCAUUGGAUCAUCCUCCCCGUAGAUAUCGGAAUCAAGGCACAUCUUGUUGAGGAUAAAGAUUUCUUCUUUUGUCCUGAUUCUUAUAGAACAUAUAAAACUUUCGGUCUUUAAGUAAUGAAUAUCUAUCUAAGCAAAUGAAAAACACUUAUAAAUUUUAAAAAAAAUUUCUCAAUUUACUAAAGUUUAUUUUUUAUAUUACUUUCAAUAUAAUUAAACUUUAUUAUUAUAGCUUAUUUAUCAUAGUAAUUGUUCCCCUGUGCCAAGAAUUAUGUAACUUUAUAUAUGAACCUUACAGGAUAAUUCAUUUAGAAUCAAUCCUGAAGGGAUUUGAUUUCUAUUUUUAAAAGAUACUUCCUGGUGGAAGCUUUGUUCGCAUAAUUAUAUAUUUUAUUAUUUGUAGGUGGAUUGAUUAUUUAAUUAACGACAAGUCUUGUUUCAUUGUAAAUCUCUUUUAGCAUGUAAUCAUCUCGAAUUAUAAAAGUUGUUCAAGA
rnacentral:lncRNA from 1 species